AACCAAAGAAGAUUUCCACGUCAGUCAACAGUACUUUCGAACUUUAACAACCAAAUUCUAAAAGACACCAAGAUUGCCACAUUCUAACAAAAUCAAAUUUACAAUUCACAAAUAAAAUAGAAAAGUUUCAAAACCCACACCUGCUUCACGACCAACGAUGUCCAGUCACCGAUUCGACGAUAAGAAAGCGAUGCUCUCCAAAAU
rnacentral:lncRNA from 1 species